GAGAGAAGUGUGAUGUGGUUGGAGAAGGAUGGGGGAGGUGCUGCGUGAUUUUUCCUUCGGCAAGAGAGGGAGUGACGGUUUGGAAGGACAAGGUGCUAUAGGACAUGGCUCUGUCAGGGAGCCGUGUAGCAGACAUGUGGCGAGGCAAUCCUAUGCAGCAGCUCUAAAGACGGGU